UACGGGGGGGGCAAGCGUUGUUCGGAAUUACUGGGCGUAAAGGGCUCGUAGGUGGCCAACUAAGUCAGACGUGAAAUCCCUCGGCUUAACCGGGGAACUGCGUCUGAUACUGGAUGGCUUGAGUUCGGGAGAGGGAUGCGGAAUUCCAGGUGUAGCGGUGAAAUGCGUAGAUAUCUGGAAGAACACCAAAGGCGAAGGCAGCGUUCUGGGAAGCAACUGACGCUCAUGUGCGAAAGCUAGGGGAGCGAACGGG
rnacentral:rRNA from 1 species